ACCGUUAGAGAUGCUGCUAUCGCUGACUGAAGACACGUGAGUCCGCUCAGAGUGAUAAUUUUGAACUUUGUGUUCAGGGGAACAGAUGACUAGAUGAACUGAAUAUUAUGCUGAAGGACGUCGGGACACAACGCUCUGAUAAGAUGUGACAUUGUGAUAUAAUUUUUUAUAUUAAUUUUAUGAUGUUAGUCUAUUUUAUUUCACCUCACUGAUUUAACAAAAUAUUUUUGUAAAUUUUAACGACCUUAUUUUGAGUCGAACAUGUUUUUAAUAAGUUUUAUUUGAUAAUUAAAAUGAAUGGUAGAGGAUGUCACAUUCAAAAAUGUGGAUGAGCUAACACACACCCAUGGUAAUUUGAUUGGAGAGAGAUAAAGCUUUUAAUUGAUAAGACAUUAUUGGAGGCUAUCAUUAUUAGAAGAUGCCAAUUCUGUUGUUGUGGAUGUGCUGGCUGGUAGGGUGACUGAGACUCAGAAAUGAACGUGGAUCAUCUCUCCUUUUUGGCUUGAUUAGAGCCUAUAUAUAUAUAGGCAAUGAUGAUCUUUGUCUCGUACCGUCUGUUUGCUUCUUCUGUUUGUUUGUUUUUCUCUUUUACUGCCUUAAAAAAAAAAAAAACUAGCGGUUAUAUACCAAUUAUAUUAUUCAAUCGGAUACUCUAGCUGAUAUAUAGAUUUACAGAUAUCAUUGUUGAUAUACUAAUUUGCAUUCCAAAUUUAAUGAAGGCCCCUUAUUAUUUUUUGCA